rnacentral:rRNA from 1 species
GGCCCAUUAGCUUGUUGGUGAGGUAAAGGCUCACCAAGGCUCCGAUGGGUAGCUGGUCUGAGAGGACGAUCAGCCACACUGGGACUGAGACACGGCCCAGACUCCUACGGGAGGCAGCAGUGGGGAAUCUUGCGCAAUGCGCGAAAGCGUGACGCAGCAACGCCGCGUGGGGGAAGAAGGCUUUCGGGUUGUAAACCCCUUUCAGUUGGGACGAAGCUUCGCCGAUGAAUAGUCGGCUGGAGUGACGGUACCUUCACAAGAAGCACCGGCUCACUACGUGCCAGCAGCCGCGGUAAUACGUAGGGUGCAAGCGUUGUCCGGAAUUAUUGGGCGUAAAGAGCGUGUAGGCGGCCCGAUUAGUCCGCUGUGAAAGUCCAGGGCUCAACCCUGGAAUGCCGGUGGAUACUGUCGGGAUAGAGUCCGGAAGGGGCGAGUGGAAUUCCUGGUGUAGCGGUGAAAUGCGCAGAUAUCAGGAGGAACACCAAUGACGAAGGCAGCUCGCUGGGACGUGACUGACGCUGAGACGCGAAAGCGUGGGGAGCA